rnacentral:rRNA from 1 species
UUAAAUUGAAGAGUUUGAUCAUGGCUCAGAUUGAACGCUGGCGGCAGGCCUAACACAUGCAAGUCGAACGGUAACAGGAAGCAGCUUGCUGCUUCGCUGACGAGUGGCGGACGGGUGAGUAAUGUCUGGGAAACUGCCUGAUGGAGGGGGAUAACUACUGGAAACGGUGGCUAAUACCGCAUAACGUCGCAAGACCAAAGAGGGGGACCUUCGGGCCUCUUGCCAUCAGAUGUGCCCAGAUGGGAUUAGCUUGUUGGUGAGGUAACGGCUCACCAAGGCGACGAUCCCUAGCUGGUCUGAGAGGAUGACCAGCCACACUGGAACUGAGACACGGUCCAGACUCCUACGGGAGGCAGCAGUGGGGAAUAUUGCACAAUGGGCGCAAGCCUGAUGCAGCCAUGCCGCGUGUAUGAAGAAGGCCUUCGGGUUGUAAAGUACUUUCAGCGGGGAGGAAGGUGUUGUGGUUAAUAAGCGCAGCAAUUGACGUUACCCGCAGAAGAAGCACCGGCUAACUCCGUGCCAGCAGCCGCGGUAAUACGGAGGGUGCAAGCGUUAAUCGGAAUUACUGGGCGUAAAGCGCACGCAGGCGGUCUGUCAAGUCGGAUGUGAAAUCCCCGGGCUCAACCUGGGAACUGCAUUCGAAACUGGCAGGCUUGAGUCUUGUAGAGGGGGGUAGAAUUCCAGGUGUAGCGGUGAAAUGCGUAGAGAUCUGGAGGAAUACCGGUGGCGAAGGCGGCCCCCUGGACAAAGACUGACGCUCAGGUGCGAAAGCGUGGGGAGCAAACAGGAUUAGAUACCCUGGUAGUCCACGCCGUAAACGAUGUCUACUUGGAGGUUGUGCCCUUGAGGCGUGGCUUCCGGAGCUAACGCGUUAAGUAGACCGCCUGGGGAGUACGGCCGCAAGGUUAAAACUCAAAUGAAUUGACGGGGGCCCGCACAAGCGGUGGAGCAUGUGGUUUAAUUCGAUGCAACGCGAAGAACCUUACCUGGUCUUGACAUCCACAGAACUUUCCAGAGAUGGAUUGGUGCCUUCGGGAACUGUGAGACAGGUGCUGCAUGGCUGUCGUCAGCUCGUGUUGUGAAAUGUUGGGUUAAGUCCCGCAACGAGCGCAACCCUUAUCCUUUGUUGCCAGCGAUUAGGUCGGGAACUCAAAGGAGACUGCCAGUGAUAAACUGGAGGAAGGUGGGGAUGACGUCAAGUCAUCAUGGCCCUUACGACCAGGGCUACACACGUGCUACAAUGGCGCAUACAAAGAGAAGCGACCUCGCGAGAGCAAGCGGACCUCAUAAAGUGCGUCGUAGUCCGGAUUGGAGUCUGCAACUCGACUCCAUGAAGUCGGAAUCGCUAGUAAUCGUGGAUCAGAAUGCCACGGUGAAUACGUUCCCGGGCCUUGUACACACCGCCCGUCACACCAUGGGAGUGGGUUGCAAAAGAAGUAGGUAGCUUAACCUUCGGGAGGGCGCUUACCACUUUGUGAUUCAUGACUGGGGUGAAGUCGUAACAAGGUAACCGUAGGGGAACCUGCGGUUGGAUCACCUCCUUACCUUAAAGAAGC